rnacentral:misc_RNA from 1 species
UUUCCGUAGGUGAACCUGCGGAAGGAUCAUUACAGAGUUCAUGCCCUUACGGGUAGAUCUCCCACCCUUGAAAUUUGUACCUUUGUUGCUUUGGCGGGCCGCGGCCUCCGCUACCGGCUUCGGUUGGUACGUGCCCGCCAGAGGACCCAACUCUUGUUUUUAGUGAUGUCUGAGUACUAUAUAAUAGUUAAAACUUUCAACAACGGAUCUCUUGGUUCUG